rnacentral:rRNA from 1 species
UACGGGGGGAGCAAGCGUUGUUCGGAUUUACUGGGCGUAAAGGGCGCGUAGGCGGCCACUGCAAGUCGACUGUGAAAUCUCCGGGCUUAACCCGGAAAGGUCAGCCGAUACUGCGGGGCUAGAGUGCAGAAGGGGCAACUGGAAUUCCUGGUGUAGCGGUGAAAUGCGCAGAUAUCUGGAGGAACACCGGUGGCGAAGGCGGCAUUCUGGACCGAUAUUGACGCUGAGGAGCGAAAGCCAGGGGAGCAAACGGG